rnacentral:rRNA from 1 species
AACGAACGCUGGCGGCAGGCUUAACACAUGCAAGUCGAACGAGCUGGGGGCUUCGGUCCCCGAUGCUAGUGGCGCACGGGUGAGUAACACGUGGGAAUAUGCCCUCUAGUACGGAAUAACCAAGGGAAACUUUGCCUAAUACCGUAUAGGCCCUUCGGGGGACAGCUUUAUCGCUAAAGGAUUAGCCCGCGUCUGAUUAGGUAGUUGGUGAGGGAAUGGCUCAUAAAUCCGACGUUCAGUACCUGGUCUGAGAGGCUGAUCAGCCACACUGGGACGGGGCCACGGCCGAGACUCCUACGGGAGGCGGCAGUGGGGGAUAUAGGACAAUGGGGGCAGUCCUGAUCCAGCCAGGCCGGGUGAGUGAAGAAGGCCGUCGGGUUGUAAAGCUCUUUCGACGGGGACGAUGAUGACGGUACCCGUACAAGAAGCCCCGGCUAACUUCGUG